AUUGAACGCUGGCGGCAGGCCUAACACAUGCAAGUCGAGCGGAUGAAGGGAGCUUGCUCCUGGAUUCAGCGGCGGACGGGUGAGUAAUGCCUAGGAAUCUGCCUGGUAGUGGGGGAUAACGUCCGGAAACGGGCGCUAAUACCGCAUACGUCCUGAGGGAGAAAGUGGGGGAUCUUCGGACCUCACGCUAUCAGAUGAGCCUAGGUCGGAUUAGCUAGUUGGUGGGGUAAAGGCCUACCAAGGCGACGAUCCGUAACUGGUCUGAGAGGAUGAUCAGUCAAACUGGAACUGAGACACGGUCCAGACUCCGAAGGGAGGGAGCAGUGGGGAAUAUUGGACAAUGGGCGAAAGCCUGAUCCAGCAAAGCCGCGUGUGUGAAGAAGGUCUUCGGAUUGUAAAGCACUUUAAGUUGGGAGGAAGGGCAGUAAGUUAAUACCUUGCUGUUUUGACGUUACCAACAGAAUAAGCACCGGCUAACUUCGUG
rnacentral:rRNA from 1 species